AAGGAUUGUUAUUAUGUCUUUAAUAUGAGGGAACAGCGAUGAAAGCACGUGCUAAGGUCUUGUGAAGGCAACAAUGCACAGCUGCUGUGAGAUCAUGAGCACAGUGGUCCUGUCAUGUCCAGAACACAAACUUUCACUCCAGUCCUUUCUUCCAGGAUGGUCCUUGAGCCUUGGGGGAGAAGCUUUUCAUUUGUUGUUGAAUUUGUGAUCUCUUGGCUUCCCGCUCCUGCAGCCAUGCUUGCCACUUGAUGCUAUGUCCCUGGCCAUUAUGGACUCUCCUGGAACUGGAAUCCCAGAUAAAGUAU